rnacentral:rRNA from 1 species
AUUGAACGCUGGCGGCAGGCUUAACACAUGCAAGUCGAGCGGAGCGAGGGUGCUUGCACCUUAGCUUAGCGGCGGACGGGUGAGUAAUGCUUAGGAAUCUGCCUAUUAGUGGGGGACAACAUUCCGAAAGGAAUGCUAAUACCGCAUACGCCCUACGGGGGAAAGCAGGGGAUCUUCGGACCUUGCGCUAAUAGAUGAGCCUAAGUCGGAUUAGCUAGUUGGUGGGGUAAAGGCCUACCAAGGCGACGAUCUGUAGCGGGUCUGAGAGGAUGAUCCGCCACACUGGGGCUGAGACACGGCCCAGACUCCUACGGGAGGCAGCAGUGGGGAAUAUUGGACAAUGGGCGGAAGCCUGAUCCAGCCAUGCCGCGUGUGUGAAGAAGGCCUUUUGGUUGUAAAGCACUUUAAGCGAGGAGGAGGCUACUAGUAUUAAUACUACUGGAUAGUGGACGUUACUCGCAGAAUAAGCACCGGCUAACUCUGUGCCAGCCGCCGCAGUAAGAC